CAGUGCAGCUCAGUUCCUACCAAAGGUACUAAGCCCAUGAGACCUCCACCAGGCUUCCAUGCACUCACAACCACACAACUCACAAAGACUGACGACGCUUGUGAGCCCAAUAGUCCAAGUGGGAUAACCAGAGGAAUCAGCUUCAAAGAUAGACCUGCGUUGGAUGGGCAGACUAUUCGAUCACUUAUUGACAGACCCGUGUAUGCAAAUUUGGAGAGUAGAUUGCAUUUAAGUACCGAUAAUCAUUCCCCUAGGGGAAUAAGGCACAGGGCACCCCAGAUCAGUGAAAGCAGCAAAACUACCAUAACUACCCCCACAAUUAGGAGGAUGAAGCAGCCAUGCCGCAUAACAUCCCACUUCAGACUACUGUUUGAGCCUAUCCCGAGCAUUGAAUGACUUAAACAUUAACAGCACCUAAAAAUAUAGCACUAUAGUCUUAACUGAAUAAUGUAGAUAUUUUAUCCCCAAAUUAUAUCAAACAUAUUAAUAUUUUUUUGUAAAAGUCAUUGAAGCAUAAAAUUACCAAUACUGAUGAAAACUCAUUUUAAUUAGUAUUAGAAGUUGUCACAAGAAGUCAUUCAUAAGAUUAUGGGAAAAAAGAUAAAAUCUUAUUCUCUAAACUUCAUUGUUCACACAGUAUCAUACAAACGAAGAAAGCAAAAAAAAACCUUUAU